AGUGAACGCUGGCGGUAGGCCUAACACAUGCAAGUCGAACGGCAGCACAGUAAGAGCUUGCUCUUACGGGUGGCGAGUGGCGGACGGGUGAGGAAUACAUCGGAAUCUACUUUUUAGUGGGGGCUAACGUAGGGAAACUUACGCCAAUACCGCAUACGACCUACGGGUGAAAGCAGGGGAUCUUCGGACCUUGCGCGAUUGAAUGAGCCGAUGUCGGAUUAGCUCGUUGGCGGGGUAAAGGCCCACCAAGGCGACGAUCCGUAGCUGGUCUGAGAGGAUGAUCAGCCACACUGGAACUGAGACACGGUCCCGACUCCUACGGGAGGCAGCAGUGGGGAAUAUUGGACAAUGGGCGCAAGCCUGAUCCAGCCAUACCGCGUGGGUGAAGAAGGCCUUCGGGUUGUAAAGCCCUUUUGUUGGGAAAGAAAAGCAGCAGGUUAAUACCCCGCUGUUCUGACGGUACCCAAAGAAUAAGCACCGGCUAACUUCGUG
rnacentral:rRNA from 1 species